rnacentral:rRNA from 1 species
UUUGAUCCUGGCUCAGAUUGAACGCUGGCGGCAGGCCUAACACAUGCAAGUCGAGCGGCAGCACGGGAAGCUUGCUUCCUGGUGGCGAGCGGCGGACGGGUGAGUAAUGCAUAGGAAUCUGCCCGGUAGUGGGGGAUAACCUGGGGAAACCCAGGCUAAUACCGCAUACGUCCUACGGGAGAAAGCAGGGGCUCUUCGGACCUUGCGCUAUCGGAUGAGUCUAUGUCGGAUUAGCUGGUUGGUGAGGUAAUGGCUCACCAAGGCGACGAUCCGUAGCUGGUCUGAGAGGAUGAUCAGCCACAUCGGGACUGAGACACGGCCCGAACUCCUACGGGAGGCAGCAGUGGGGAAUAUUGGACAAUGGGCGCAAGCCUGAUCCAGCCAUGCCGCGUGUGUGAAGAAGGCCCUCGGGUUGUAAAGCACUUUCAGUGGGGAAGAAAGCCUGGUGGUUAAUACCCGUCAGGAAGGACAUCACCCACAGAAGAAGCACCGGCUAACUCCGUGCCAGCAGCCGCGGUAAUACGGAGGGUGCGAGCGUUAAUCGGAAUUACUGGGCGUAAAGCGCGCGUAGGUGGCUUGAUAAGCCGGUUGUGAAAGCCCCGGGCUCAACCUGGGAACGGCAUCCGGAACUGUCAGGCUAGAGUGCAGGAGAGGAAGGUAGAAUUCCCRGUGUAGCGGUGAAAUGCGUAGAGAUCGGGAGGAAUACCAGUGGCGAAGGCGGCCUUCUGGACUGACACUGACACUGAGGUGCGAAAGCGUGGGUAGCAAACAGGAUUAGAUACCCUGGUAGUCCACGCCGUAAACGAUGUCGACUAGCCGUUGGGUCCUUCGCGGACUUUGUGGCGCAGUUAACGCGAUAAGUCGACCGCCUGGGGAGUACG